rnacentral:rRNA from 1 species
GGAUAACGUUUGGAAACGAACGCUAAUACCGCAUGAUAUUAUCUUAUCGCAUGAUAGGAUGAUCAAAGGAGUGAUCCGCUGAAAGAUGGGCUCGCGUCCGAUUAGGUAGUUGGUGAGGUAACGGCCCACCAAGCCGACGAUCGGUAGCCGGACUGAGAGGUUGGACGGCCACAUUGGGACUGAGACACGGCCCAGACUCCUACGGGAGGCAGCAGUAAGGGAUAUUGGUCAAUGGGGGAAACCUUGAACCAGCAACGCCGCGUGAGGGAAGACGGUUUUCGGAUUGUAAACCUCUGUCCUCUGUGAAGAUGAUGACGGUAGCAGAGGAGGAAGCUCCGGCUAACUACGUGCCAGCAGCCGCGGUAAUACGUAGGGAGCGAGCGUUGUCCGGAUUUACUGGGUGUAAAGGGUGCGUAGGCGGCUAUGCAAGUCAGCAGUGAAAUCCAUGGGCUUAACCCAUGAACUGCUAUUGAAACUGCACAGCUUGAGUGAAGUAGAGGUAGGCGGAAUUCCCGGUGUAGCGGUGAAAUGCGUAGAGAUCGGGAGGAACACCAGUGGCGAAGGCGGCCUACUGGGCUUUAACUGACGCUGAGGCACGAAAGCGUGGGUAGCAAACAGGAUUAGAUACCCUGGUAGUCCACGCUGUAAACGAUGAUUACUAGGUGUGGGGGGACUGAACCCUUCCGUGCCGGA